AGUACAAUGAAGAUCCUGAACUUGUCAUCGAGUUAAAAAACUUUCUCAAACCGUAAAACAGGUAUCUGACGUCUCUUAACUAAUUAAAACCGUUAUAAUAGGUUCUAUGACAGUAUUGCACCCGGUUUUGUCAGCUGACUCAGUAUAGGUCCCACAUGUAAGCCUCUUCUUCCUUCCUCUCUCCUUCCCUUUCCCUUUCCACGGGCGACGGGCGUGCGCGGGCGGCGGGGACGGAGAGGUUGGGCAUGGUGAGGUUGGCGCGGCCGGUGGGGGAGGAGCUGAGCGCAGCCGGCGGUCAGCGGGGCGGGAGAGGAGGAGGGCGUCGGCGGCCGAAGACGGGCGACGCGGCGGCGGUGACGGCUGCGACGCAGCGCCGGUGAUGGCGGCGACGGGCAACGCAGUCGGGUGCGUCGCGAGGAAGGAGGGGACGAGGCGGGACAAGCAAGCCGCCGGGACAUCCUCUUCGCCGCCGCCGGGGGGCCGCCUCGUCGCCACGACGGCCAGCGGCAGCAGGAUGGGAGGAGGCACAAGUGCAAGGUGGCGCCGGCUGCGACGGGGUGCGUGGCGACCGACAGCGGGGGAGAGGAGCUGGGCGCAGCAGGCGAAGAUGGGCGGCCGGCUCAUCCCCGCUGCCGCCGCCCACGCCCGCGGCGAACGGUGAAGGUGAAGGGGUAGAGCUUGUGGCGACGGAACUUAGGGAAGCAAGAGCGGAGGGCGACGUCCUCGGCGGCGGAGGAGGAGAGGCUGGCAUCCCCACCCGCGACAUCCCCGUCGACCUCGUCGGCGCCAAGCUCCUCCCCCACCAGCCGCGCACGCCCGUCGCCCGUCGCCCGUCGCCCGUCGAUGUAGAGCACCAAGUUCAUCUCCGCCUGGCACGGCCCGCCGCAGAACGCCUCCGCCGCCUCCGAAUCUCCGAUGGCACACCGCACACCUAGCGCGCCCUCCGGACAAGCCUGUACUGCCCCUGGCACCCGCUGUAGAUCUUUACCCGGCCACCAAUGCAAGAACACACACAUCCAAGAUUGCAGAACGUCAAAAACAGAAUGAUGGCCCCGGCAAUGAUGUCUUCAGUGUUUCUUUUCUGACCAUGGAAGGGUGUUGCUGCCUCGUCUGCGACGGCGAUGGCGACAUGCAUCUAGAUGGGGCUGUGAGCAGCACGAUGGGCAGAGCCCGGUCGGGAGGAGGAGGACGGCGCCGGAGACGGCGAGCGUGAGGAAGCCGACGACUUGGGUGGAGUUGGGCGCGUGCGUUUGCACCGCCGGAGCGUCGAUGACAAGUCCGCCGCCGCGGGCGCUUACCUUACCCAUGGCGUUGCGUCGGACGUGCGCGUGCUGCUGCCGAUGGGAAGAAAAAAAAGAGUCUGACAUAUGGGACCCACGUGGGUCCCACGCUGAGUCAACUGCCACGUAGGACAAAACCGGGUGUAAUACUGCUCUAGGAGCUAUUGUAACCGGUUUUAAUUAGUUAAGAGACACUGGAUAUCUGGUUUUGCGGUUUGAAAACGUUUUUUUAACUCGAUGACAAGUUCAGGGACCUUCGGUGUACUUUUUCCUACGAGCAAUUUACUCCUCGUGAUAGGCCUUCAAUGGUGACACUGUGACAGGCCAGA